ensembl:snRNA U6 U6 spliceosomal RNA
GUUUUCACUUUAGCAGCACAUAUACUAAAAUUGUAAUGACAUACAGAAGAUUAGCCCGGCCCCUGCACAAGGAUGCCAUGCAAAUUUGUGAAGCAUUCCAUAUUUUU